rnacentral:rRNA from 1 species
UACAGAGGUCCCAAGCGUUGUUCGGAUUCACUGGGCGUAAAGGGUGCGUAGGUGGCUACUGAAAGUUUGAUGUGAAAUCUCCGGGCUUAACCCGGAAAAUGCAUUGAAUACUGCAGAGCUGGAGGGCUGGAGGGGGGACUGGAAUUCUCGGUGUAGCAGUGAAAUGCGUAGAUAUCGGGAGGAACACCUGUGGCGAAGGCGGCCCCCUGGUUGGAUACUGACGCUGAGGAGCGAAAGCGUGGGGAGCGAACAGG